UUUCUCCUGAGAUGGCAUCUGGAGAGUGACUAGUAUUCUGCCAGCUUUGGAAGCAGGAUGGAGAGCAAGCCUACCAGAGGUACUCAUUUCUUUCCCAGCUUGCUCAGGAACUGUGACUGGAAGACACUCUGUGACCGCA